rnacentral:rRNA from 1 species
UACGUAGGGUGCGAGCGUUAAUCGGAAUUACUGGGCGUAAAGCGUGCGCAGGCGGUCUGUUAAGACAGAUGUGAAAUCCCCGGGCUUAACCUGGGAACUGCAUUUGUGACUGGCAGGCUAGAGUAUGGCAGAGGGGGGUAGAAUUCCACGUGUAGCAGUGAAAUGCGUAGAGAUGUGGAGGAAUACCGAUGGCGAAGGCAGCCCCCUGGGCCAAUACUGACGUUCAUGCACGAAAGCGUGGGGAGCAAACAGG